GUACUUUUGGCAGAGAAGAAAAGGUACCUCCUAAUACGAGGUACUGCUGACGGUAUCUGCAGAAUAAGCACGGCUAACUACGUGCCAGCAGCCGCGGUAAUACGUAGGGUGCAAGCGUUAAUCGGAAUUACUGGGCGUAAAGCGUGUGUAGGCGGUUCGGAAAGAAAGAUGUGAAAUCCCAGGGCUCAACCUUGGAACUGCAUUUUUAACUGCCGAGCUAGAGUAUGUCAGAGGGGGGUAGAAUUCCACGUGUAGCAGUGAAAUGCGUAGAUAUGUGGAGGAAUACCGAUGGCGAAGGCAGCCCCCUGGGAUAAUACUGACGCUCAGACACGAAAGCGUGGGGAGCAAACAGGAUUAGAUACCCUGGUAGUCCACGCCCUAAACGAUGUCAACUAGCUGUUGGGGCCGUUAGGCCUUAGUAGCGCAGCUAACGCGUGAAGUUGACCGCCUGGGGAGUACGGUCGCAAGAUUAAAACUCAAAGGAAUUGACGGGGACCCGCACAAGCGGUGGAUGAUGUGGAUUAAUUCGAUGCAACGCGAAAAACCUUACCUACCCUUGACAUGUCUGGAAUGCCGAAGAGAUUUGGCAGUGCUCGCAAGAGAACCGGAACACAGGUGCUGCAUGGCUGUCGUCAGCUCGUGUCGUGAGAUGUUGGGUUAAGUCCCGCAACGAGCGCAACCCUUGUCAUUAGUUGCUACGCAAGAGCACUCUAAUGAGACUGCCGGUGACAAACCGGAGGAAGGUGGGGAUGACGUCAAGUCCUCAUGGCCCUUAUGGGUAGGGCUUCACACGUCAUACAAUGGUCGGGACAGAGGGUCGCCAACCCGCGAGGGGGAGCCAAUCUCAGAAACCCGAUCGUAGUCCGGAUCGCAGUCUGCAACUCGACUGCGUGAAGUCGGAAUCGCUAGUAAUCGCGGAUCAGAAUGUCGCGGUGAAUACGUUCCCGGGUCUUGUACACACCGCCCGUCACACCAUGGGAGUGGGUUUCACCAGAAGUAGGUAGCCUAACCGUAAGGAGGGCGCUACCACGUGGAUCCGG
rnacentral:rRNA from 1 species